rnacentral:rRNA from 1 species
GAUGAACGCUGGCGGCGUGCCUAAUACAUGCAAGUCGAGCGAACAGAUGAGGAGCUUGCUCCUCUGACGUUAGCGGCGGACGGGUGAGUAACACGUGGAUAACCUACCUAUAAGACUGGGAUAACUUCGGGAAACCGGAGCUAAUACCGGAUAAUAUAUUGAACCGCAUGGUUCAAUAGUGAAAGACGGUUUUGCGGUCACUUAUAGAUGGAUCCGCGCCGCAUUAGCUAGUUGGUAAGGUAACGGCUUACCAAGGCAACGAUGCGUAGCCGACCUGAUAGGGUGAUAGGCGGCACUGGAACGUGGACACGGUCCAGACUCCUGCGAGACGCAGCAGUAGGGAAUCGUCCGCAAUGGGCGAGAGCCUGGCAGAACGGCGCCGCGUGAGUGGUGAAGGUCUUCGGAUCGUAAAGCUCUGUUAUUAGGUAAGAACAAAUGUGUAAGUAACUAUGCACGUCUUGACGGUACCUAAUCAGAAAGCCACGGCUAACUACGUG